CAAUUGUUCGCCAAACAACUACGAGUCCCACUUAAAACUUAAAAGACUUGACGGUGCUUCAUCACAGCCUAGAGGAGCCUGUCUAAUAACCGACAAUCCACGAUUAACCCCACCCCUUCUCGCCUCACAGUCUAUAUACCGCCGUCGCCAGCUUACCUUGUAAAAGAAAUAAAGUGAGCUAAACAGUACCACACUAAAACGACAGGUCGAGGUGUAACCCAUGAAGGGGUCUAAGAUGGGCUACAUUCUCCAACCGAGAAUACGAAUAACACUAUGAAAUUAGUGAUUGAAGACGGAUUUAGCAGUAAGAUAAGAAUAGAACACCUAACUGAACAUAGCGCAAUGAAGUGCGUACACACCGCCCGUCACCCCUGUCACCACAAUAUUAAACUUAAUAAACCAACUAAAUAAACCAAACAGGGCAAGUCGUAACAAGGUAAGUGUACA
rnacentral:rRNA from 1 species